rnacentral:rRNA from 1 species
UGAGGAAUAUUGGUCAAUGGGGGAAACCCUGAACCAGCGACGCCGCGUGUACGAUGAAGGGGCUUUGCCCUGUAAAGUACUGUCGGAGGGGAAGAAAAGCCGGGUUGCCCGGCUGGGACUGUACCCUAAAAGGAAGGAUCGGCUAACUACGUGCCAGCAGCCGCGGUAAUACGUAGGAUCCAAGCGUUGUCCGGAAUUACUGGGUGUAAAGGGUGCGCAGGCGGACUUGUGCGUCAGAGGUUAAAGGCCACGGCUCAACCGUGGAAAUGCCUUUGAUACGGCAAGUCUUGAGUACGAGAGAGGAUGGUGGAAUUCUUGGUGUAGCGGUGAAAUGCGUAGAUAUCAAGAGGAACACCAGUGGCGAAGGCGGCCAUCUGGCUCGUUACUGACGCUCAGGCACGAAAGCGUGGGGAGCAAACAGG